rfam:Termitomyces sp. J132 unplaced genomic scaffold scaffold461, whole genome shotgun sequence.
CCGACCUUAGCUCAGUUGGUAGAGCGCAAGACUGUAAUGGAUAAUUUCUAUCUUGAUGCCGCCUGUUCGAUCCAGGCAGGUCGGA